GCCAAACUUUCUCAUUGCUAUUUUAUAGCCGUUUCCCCAGACGUCGUCAUCAAUUGAGGCACAUAAUUCCUGCCACUUUGAAUGUUUUGAGAUUUUUAUUUCCUUUCGUAGUUUAUCCCUUGCUAUUUUUAGUGUGUUUACCUUAGUUUCUAGGUUUUGUGACAAUGUUGUUUUAGGUCGAGCUCUUGUUACAGCUCGUCUGGCUUUGAUAGAUUCUUUCCGGAGUUGGGCAAUACGAUCGUUCCACCAGUAGCAGGGUCUUCGUUUUGGUGAAAAAGAUUUCUUUAACAUCGCAGCGUUGCAUGAUUUUUCAAGACUGUCUUUUAGUUGCUCGGGUUCCACGCUGGGGGUUGGUUUGAAUUAUACUGAUGGCUAUCUGGUAAAUUUGUUUCCCAUUUGAAAGAAAUGAUUUUGUGGUCGCUGAGGGAUUCUGUAUCCAUCGUUGUCCAUCCUUGUAUGUUAUUUGCGACGUUUUGAGAUACUAGUGUUAAGUCUAUGAUUGAUUUUGAUGUACCUCUUUCAAAUGUAUAGUAGUUUGGUUUGUUUUUGGUAAUAAAGUUUAGUUCUGCAA